UCUAUGCGAAUGAAAGAAAAGUGACGCUUCCCUCGCCCGCCCAGCCCUCUGUCCUUCUCAGGUUUACCCUCCUGUGUUUUAAAGCCACCUCUUGUCAGUUACCUUUUGGCACGACUGGCGUGCACAGAUCCUCCGACUAAGCUAACAGGGGUGCCUCCUUCCUUUUGGCGUGAAGGAUUUCAACAGGGACGCCAUCACAGGGACUUCUGAGGAUCCAUCACAAGAUGAGCUCCUUAAGAUCGGACAACAUGCGGGCUCUUCUACAAAUUUUUCUUUGCUUUGUGCUUCUAGCAACAGGCAGUUGUUUGCAGUGUGAAACCUGCCACAGCAACAAGACUUCCUGUACGGGUCCCAUGGAGAACUGCACCGAUGGAGACACCUGCGUCAUUGGGAUUGUGCAAUCUUCUCUGGGUAGCAGACCUGAGUACAUGUUUCACAAAUCCUGUGGCAAAUCUGCUGAGUGUGAUAAUAUCCACAUGCAUUUUGAUUUGGGGAAUGGACACAUGUACCAUAUGAUGCAACAGUGCUGCACAGAGGAAGCCUGCUCCGAAGUUGCAA